CCCCCUUAGCUAGUAGGUGGGGUAAUGGCUCACCUAGAAACGAUCCCUAGCUGGUCUGAGAGGAUGACCAGCCACACUAACGGUGAGACACGGUCCAGACUCCUACGGGAGGCAGCAGUGGGGAAUAUUGCACAAUGGGCGCAAGCCUGAUGCAGCCAUGCCGCGUGUGUGAAGAAGGCCCCCCGGUUGUAAAGCACUUUCAGCAGGGAGGACCAGGGUAGUGUGUUAAUAGCACAUUGCGCCGGUUACUCGCAGAAGAAGCAAAUGCUAACUCCGUGCCAGCAGCCGCGGUAAUACGGAGGGUGCAAGCGUUAAUCGGAAUUACUGGGCGUAAAGCGCACGCAGGCGGUUUGUUAAGUCAGAUGUGAAAUCCCCGCGCUUAACGUGGGAACUGCAUUUGAAACUGGCAAGCUAGAGUCUUGUAGAGGAAAGUAGAAUUCCAGGUGUAGCGGUGAAAUGGAUUGAGAUCUGGAGGAAUACCGGUGGCGAAGGCGGCCCCCUGGACAAAGACUGACGCUCAGGUGCGAAAGCGUGGGGAGCAAACAGGAUUAGAUACCCUGGUAGUCCACGCUGUAAACGAUGUCGACUUGGAGGUUGUGCCCUUGAGGCGUGGCUUCCGGAGCUAACGCGUUAAGUCGACCGCCUGGGGAGUACGGCCGCAAGGUUAAAACUCAAAUGAAUUGACGGGGGCCCGCACAAGCGGUGGAGCAUGUGGUUUAAUUCGAUGCAACGCGAAGAACCUUACCUACUCUUGACAUCCAGAGAAUUCGCUAGAGAUAGCUUAGUGCCUUCGGGAACUCUGAGACAGGUGCUGCAUGGCUGUCGUCAGCUCGUGUUGUGAAAUGUUGGGUUAAGUCCCGCAACGAGCGCAACCCUUAUCCUUUGUUGCCAGCGCGUAAUGGCGGGAACUCAAAGGAGACUGCCGGUGAUAAACCGGAGGAAGGUGGGGAUGACGUCAAGUCAUCAUGGCCCUUACGAGUAGGGCUACACACGUGCUACAAUGGCGUAUACAAAGAGAAGCGAACUCGCGAGAGCCAGCGGGCCAUAAAAUUUACGUCGUAGUCCGGACAUUCAUCUGAACCUCGACUCCGUGAAGUCGGAAUCGCUAGUAAUCGUAGAUCAGAAUGCUACGGUGAAUACGUUCCCGGGCCUUGUACACACCGCCCGUCACACCAUGGGAGUGGGUUGCAAAAGAAGUAGGUAGCUUAACCUUCGCGAGGGCGCUUACCACUCCG
rnacentral:rRNA from 1 species